CCUUUCACGCAGGGGUCUCGGUGGCGGUUUGAAGCGCGCCGAGUGAGAUCAAACCCUUUGCACCUGUACGGAUCAUGCCGAGGCAGGGAGCGUGUGCGGCCUGGCC
rnacentral:ncRNA from 1 species